AUUUGUUUUUACUACAAUUCUAUUGUACAAAUAAGAACAACUCGAAUAAAAAAAAUUUAAGUUCUAUAUAACUGCGUUUUGAGUUUUGUAUUUAAACAUUUUUGUGUUUAUUUAAAGCACCAAGGAUUUUAGAAGUUUAAUAAAUUCUAUUGACAUUUUGGUCAUGCACCUAUUUACCCACAUUUUUGAUGUCCUAACUAAUAAGCAGUUAUUUUUGGGAAACAAAGUAAUGAUGCAUAAUUACGCGAGUUUUUUCCAAAUAAAUAUUUCAGUAUGGGGCCAAAGCUCAAUAGUUACGCUAACCUGAACGUGUGCUGCUUUCCUUAGAUUUGGUAGCCGUUUCUCAGACUCCCUCCCCGGAAUCGAACCCUGAUUUCCCGUUACCCAUUACAACCAUGAUAUUGAUAGUAACUACUAUCAUAACAUGAAACUAAAAAUUAGUAAACACUUUGGUGAUAACACUUCGAUGGUUAAACCGAAUCAAGACAAUUCGGUAUGAGGUGCUCACAAUGGACCAAACAGACCAACUAAAACCAAAACUAUUCUAAUUUGAAAACAACGUGAAAAGUUGAAAAAGAAAAGUAUAUAUUUGCUUCAGAUGAAAGUUCCUUAUUUAAAAUUAAACACUAUCUACAGAUUUGCAUCGAAGCGUUUCUUAUGAUAGUGAUUUUAAUCACUGUCAG